rnacentral:tRNA from 1 species
UUUAAUUUCUACUUGGCUUCUCUCCAAGACCCCCGACCUGAAAAGUCGUCGUUGUUAACCUUCAACUAUAGAAAC